GACGAACGCUGGCGGCGUGCUUAACACAUGCAAGUCGAACGGAAAGGCCUUUUCGGAGGUACUCGAGUGGCGAACGGGUGCGUAACACGUGGGUGAUCUGCCCUGCACUCUGGGAUAAGCCUGGGAAACUGGGUCUAAUACCGGAUAGGACCGCACUUUAGUGUGUGUGGUGGAAAGUUUUUUCGGUGUAGGAUGAGCCCGCGGCCUAUCAGCUUGUUGGUGGGGUAAUGGCCUACCAAGGCGGCGACGGGUAGCCGGACUGAGAGGUUGGUCGGCCACAUUGGGACUGAGAUACGGCCCAGACUCCGACGGGAGGCAGCAGUGGGGAAUAUUGCACAAUGGGCGCAAGCCUGAUGCAGCGACGCCGCGUGGGGGAUGACGGCCUUCGGGUUGUAAACUCCUUUCGCCAGGGACGAAGCGUUUUGUGACGGUACCUGGAGAAGAAGCACCGGCUAACUACGUG
rnacentral:rRNA from 1 species